ACCACAGGAGCCAGACAGAGCCCCAGGAGGAGUGUAUGAGCACCGAUGAAAAGCCCUCCUUCUCAAUCACCAGCAGUUCCUUCACAGAUGCACCAUCUAGAGGCAGCCAGGAGCACGACUCAGUAAAAAAUGGUUAAGAAGGAACCCGAGAGCUCUGUAAAUGCAUGUGCUCAACAGAACUGCCCCACUGCCCCCACGAUAUGGCCCCACAGUGGCCAUCAGAACCACAGGAGCCAGACAGAGCCCCAGGAGGAGUGUAUGAGCACCGAUGAAAAGCCCUCCUUCUCAAUCACCAGCAGUUCCUUCACAGAUGCACCAUCUAGAGGCAGCCAGGAGCACGACUCAGUAAAGUUUGGUUCAGCACCUACUCCAG
ensembl:lncRNA